rnacentral:rRNA from 1 species
CCCUUAGACGUCCUGGGCCGCACGCGCGCUACAAUGACUUGCUCAGAAAGUUUUUCCUGGCUCGGAAGAGUUCAGGGUAAUCUUUGUAAUACAAGUCGUGUUAGGGAUCGAUCUUUGCAAUUAUAGAUCUUGAACGAGGAAUGCCUAGUAAGUGCAGUUCAUCAGGCUGUACUGAUUACGUCCCUGCCCUUUGUACACACCGCCCGUCGCUCCUACCGAUUUCGAGUGGUCCGGUGAACCUUCUGGACUGGGUUCGCAAGAACUCGGGAAGUUAAGUAAACCUUAUCACUUAGAGGAAGGAGAAGUCGUAACA